UGCGCACCCCUGCUCACAGGGGGCCCGAGCCGUGGCCUGCACUGUAAAGCGCCCAGGACUCAUGGCCGGGCCCUGACUUACAGGGUGGCCCUGGUCCUUAAGGCAUUCGGAGGCUCCUUCUCUCCGACUGAGGGGCACCUUCACCCUCACCCCACUAGCGGGGCGGUCACCCCACACAGGCUGCCAGCUGAGGGAGCACAAAGGCUCCCAGACCCAGGACCUGCUUACAGGCUGGUCCACACCCAGGGAGCCGCAGAGCUCGGCCUUCCCCCUGCACCAACAGGAACGAGACUCCACGGCCAGGUACCGGAGCUUCAGAGCUAAAGGCCGGGGGACUGGCGGAUACAGCCCCCGAGCCUCUCAAAGACUAGGGCCAGACAUUCCCAAAUAAGCUCCAGGGAGCCCAAGGCUCCGACCUGCGUCCGAGUUACGGGCGGGCCUCGUGGCUGCACCACACCAUCAACAUUACCAUUAUCAUUAUCAUUGUCAUUAUCAUUAUCAUCAUUAUCAUCAUCAUCAUCAUCAUCAUUAUUAUUAUCAUUGUCAUUAUCAUUAUCAUCAUCAUCAUCAUCAUUUUCAUCACGUAGUCCUUCAGGAGCCCAGCGCACAACCUCGACCCCAACCAGGGGGAGGUCAGCCCAGCCAAAGGUGGGCCUGCAACCUGUGGCACUGCAUUUCCUCAACCUGCACCCUCUAAAGGGCGAGGGAGGGCUCGUUCCUGUGGGCUGGCUAAGAACAGCCUCCCAUGCCCUGCUUAAAGCAGGCUGGGGCUGCUCCAGGGAACAAAGGGCUCCACAGAUUGGGACUGUGCGUGGAAGCUGGAGACCUUCAACACGCCAAGGGGAAAAUACUGCGACACACCCUGACAACAGGGGGUCACGCUGGCAGGUCACCAGCAGGACAGGCAGCCAUGCAGGCAGAGACCCAGGUCCUGACUACAGGCAGGUCGCAUUGCCUGCACCACAACUAAGUGGCUUGGCACCGUCCUUGGAAAGAAGGGGCG
rnacentral:lncRNA from 14 species